GAUGAACGCUGGCGGCGUGCCUAAUACAUGCAAGUAGAGCGAACAGACGAGGAGCUUGCUCCUCAGACGUUAGCGGCGGACGGGUGAGUAACACGUGGAUAACCUACCUAUAUGACUGGGAUAACUUCGGGAAACCGGAGCUAAUACCGGAUAAUAUAUUGAACUUCAUUGUUCAAUAGUGAAAGAUGGUUUUGUUGUCAUUCAUAGAUGGAUCCGCGCCGCAUUAGCUAGUUGGUAAGGUAACGGCUUACCAAGGCAACGAUGCGUAGCCGACCUGAGAGGGUGAUCGGCCACACUGGAACUGAGACACGGUCCAGACUCCUACGGGAGGCAGCAGUAGGGAAUCUUCCGCAAUGGGCAAAAUCCUGACGGAGCAACGCCGCGUGAGUAAUGAAGGUCUUCGGAUCGUAAACCUCUGUUAAUAGGGAAGAACAAUUGUGUAAGUAACUAUGCACGUCUUGACGGUACCUUAUCAGAAAGCCACGGCUAACUACGUG
rnacentral:rRNA from 1 species